CGCAAGUCUGACGGAGCAACGCCGCGUGAGUGAAGAAGGUUUUCGGAUCGUAAAGCUCUGUUGCCAAGGAGGAACGCCUUGGGGAGUCACUGCCCUGAGGGUGACGGUACUUGAGAAGAAAGCCCCGGCUAACUACGUGCCAGCAGCCGCGGUAAUACGUAGGGGGCAAGCGUUGUCCGGAAUUAUUGGGCGUAAAGCGCGCGCAGGCGGCCGCUUAAGUUUGGUGUWUAAGCCCGGGGCUCAACCCCGGAUCGCACCGAAAACUGGGUGGCUUGAGUGCAGGAGAGGAAAGCGGAAUUCCACGUGUAGCGGUGAAAUGCGUAGAGAUGUGGAGGAACACCAGUGGCGAAGGCGGCUUUCUGGACUGUAACUGACGCUGAGGCGCGAAAGCGUGGGGAGCAAACAGGAUUAGAUACCCUGGUAGUCCACGCCGUAAACGAUGAGUGCUAGGUGUUAGGGGUUUCGAUACCCUUGGUGCCGAAGUCMMCACAAUAAGCACUCCGCCUGGGGAGUACGCUCGCAA
rnacentral:rRNA from 1 species